rnacentral:rRNA from 1 species
UAGUCAUAUGCUUGUCUCAAAGAUUAAGCCAUGCAUGUCUAAGUAUAAGCCAAUUUAUACGGUGAAACUGCGAAUGGCUCAUUAUAUCAGUUAUAGUUUAUUUGAUGGUACCUUUACUACUUGGAUAACCGUGGUAAUUCUAGAGCUAAUACAUGCGGCAAAUCCCGACUUCUGGAAGGGACGUAUUUAUUAGAUCCAAAACCAGCGAGGGCAACCUCUUUACUGGUGAUUCAUAAUAACUUUUCGAAUCGCAUGGCCUUGCGCCGGCGAUGGGUCAU